rnacentral:lncRNA from 1 species
UAGAUCAAUUGUUUAGCUACUCAUACCAAAACAAGAGAAAACUACAAAGUUGUUCAUAAUGUAUAAUUGCAACAAUUAAAAGGAGAUAGAAAAACUCUAAUGUUUUGUUGAUCUUCUCCCACUUGUUCUUGCCUCCAAAGUAGUCUAAAGAAAAGCUUCAUUAUAUCUUGGGCGAGCUUCUAGAGUUUAUAAGUGUUUGGACUAAGUUUUCUCGAGUUACACUUCGGUCCCAAAAUUUUCUGUCAACUACACAGUUCACCGCAGCCGUGGCAUGACCGGGAAGCGAUCACGGUGAAGGCCAACUAUUCUUCCUGCAUUUUGUGGGCUGUCGCGGUCCUACCGCAGUCCCACCGCGGCCAUAUUGGAUUUAACCUUAGUCCACUUUUUGCUUCUUUAUGCCAGGUGCUUCUUGAUUGGAUGUUUUAUUCACAUUGUUGACAUCAAAAUACUUCAUAGUUCUUCCCAACUUGGAUUAUUUAUUGCGAAGCAAACGAACACCAAUUUGAGCAUUUUGUUAGCAUUUCUCCUAUGAAACAACAAUAAAGCGUUGUAUAAUAAAGGUACAAAUAUCAUCUAUAUAGUCUAAUAUCACUACCUAUUGCAUAUCUUUAAUUAGUAGCCUUAUUUGAAUUUCAAAAUUAGAUUUAAGAAGUAAAUGUGACCAUUCAUAGUAUGCAUUAGGCGCAAACUUCAAAAAUAUUAGCUUUAACUAAUGAAUUACUAGUGAUUGAGUAUAAUCCUUUUAAAUAAAUCAAGGUGUUCCAUUCACAAGUGAAUUCCAUAAUCUAUGGCCCUAAUAUUAAUACCAAAACCAGUGUGAAAAAUAUUUGAACAUUUGUAGCUUGCUGUAGGUGCAUUUUUAUAAUAAAUCAUCGUGACUAUGGAUACGGUUCUCAUGGCAUAGUCAUAAAAUAUAAUUCUAAAAUUUGGGUGUGCAUUUCAUGUGACCUAAUAAUAAGAACUUUGAACAAUAAUAUAAUAAACAUUCCCAACCUAAAUCCAUCCUGAAUCCCUCGGGACCUCAACCAAACAUGCAAACAAGUCACAUAUCACCAAUAAAACUUAUUCCAACCUUCAAGACACUCAAAACAACAUCACAACGCCCAAUCACCCUCAGAUUCAAGCCUAAGAGUUUCCAAAUGUCAAAAUUCCACAAAAAAUCCAAAAACCUAUCAAACCUCCUCCGGAUGACCUCAAAUUGUGCACACACAUCAAAAUUGACACUACAGACCUACUCCAAUUUUCAAAAAUACAUUCUGACCCUGACAUCAAAAUUUCCACUACCAACCAAGAAAUGUCAAAUUUCUAAUUUCGCCAAUUCAAGCCUUAUUCUACUACAGGCCUCCAAAUCACAUUCCGGACGUGCUCCUAAGAUCAAAAUCACCUAACAGAGCUAAUCAAACCAUAAAAAUCAACAUUUGAGAUCAAAUACUAAAAAGUCAAAACUUGGUCAAACCUUUUAAAUUUAAAGCUUCAAUUUGGGAAUCAUUCUUCCAUAUCUGUUCAAAUUAACCUGAAAACCUUAACCGGUAAUUUAUAUAAGUCAUAAUAACUCAUACAAGGCCAGUCAUGCCACAGAUCUGGUGAGCUAAGUACAAAUGCUCAAAAUGACUGGUAAGAUCGUUAGAUAACUGAUAAGAAAAUGCUACGACUCAAUAAGAAGUUCCCGAAAUCUGAGCGUCUAAUUGACAAUAUAGUAUGACUACUAAGAACACCAUCUAGAAAGAUAGAAUAGUACAAACAACUUAAACAAGAGAAAGUCAAGGUUUGAAGAUGCUAAGGCCGUGACGUGUCAAAAAAAGCUCAAAUAAGCUUUCCUUAUAGGUCCGUUUAAAAGAGAAUGACACAUUUUUAUAAUUAAAAAUAAAUUUACUUUAAAUUUCUCAUUUUAGAACCACACAAAUAUCAUGACCUCAAAAAGUUUUUACCACUGAAACUUAGACCACAAAUUUCAAAAGCUUUUUCGUGUUUCUUAAACUCUCUGCCGAGUCAAACUAUUUUACUAUAAUUGAAAUGGAAGGGACACCGAACGAGCUUGCUACGGAUCAACAUCACCGGGUCGAGAUAGAUUCGGGCAAAAGCAAUAUGGUGGCUGACACCAUAAAACCAUCUGGAGCAUCGGUGCUAUACCGGAAGAAGUGUAAGUUGAGGGUUUGGAGAACACCGUUCGAGCUUGCUACGGGCCAAAAACUGCAAAUUCCCCACUCACUGUCAACAGCAUUGGAAGGGAGGAGUUUGGGCGCCCAGCAUUCUGCCAAGGGAUUCGAGGAGCAGUUGGAUACUGCAAAAUCUCACUUAAUCCGAGCGGCCAAGCAGAUGAAGAAAUUUCCCGACCGGUCGCGACGCCCAACAUAUUACAAAGUUGGAGACCUAGUGUUGGUGACAUUUACCUCGAGGCAGUUCAAGGCACUAAGGGGCUUAAAUCCCAAUGUAGUGCACAAGUAUGACCUUUUCAGAAUAUACAAAUAGUGCAAAGAUUUUUUUGGCAUUAUUUCCUCAUUCAAAACUAGUUAAAAAUAAGUCUAUGUCAAAGAUAAGUUAGUAACCAAGGAAGUAAGAUAAAUAAUAUGGUGCAUUAAAAGUAGGGUAAAAGAAUCAUAGGCGUUCCAAUUUCUUACCUUUGUUAUAUUAGGAACCAAGGAACGCAAUGUUGGAUUAUAAAUCCUACUAUUAUAUUUUAGCCUUCAUAUCGAACUACUUGGAAUAACAACAUAAGCGGAAGCGUACCUGAAUCCAUAAGUGGAAAUCUUUAGCCCUUCUUGAAGAUUGUCCAAGGUGUGCCUUUGAGAAGCU